rnacentral:rRNA from 1 species
AUUGAACGCUGGCGGAAUGCUUUACACAUGCAAGUCGAACGGCAGCACGGGGGCAACCCUGGUGGCGAGUGGCGAACGGGUGAGUAAUACAUCGGAACGUGCCCAGUCGUGGGGGAUAACGUAGCGAAAGUUACGCUAAUACCGCAUACGAUCUACGGAUGAAAGCGGGGGACCGUACGGACUCGCGCGAUUGGAGCGGCCGAAGUCAGAUUAGGUAGUUGGUGAGGUAAAGGCUCACCAAGCCGACGAUCUGUAGCUGGUCUGAGCGGACGACAAGCCACACUGGGACUGAGACACGGCCCAGACUCCUAAGGGAGGCAUCAGUGGGGAAUUUUGGACAAUGGGCGCAAGCCUGAUCCAGCCAUUCCGCGUGCAGGACGAAGGCCUUCGGGUUGUAAACUGCUUUUGUACGGAACGAAAAGGCUCUGGUUAAUACCUGGGGCUCAUGACGGUACCGUAAGAAUAAGCACCGGCUAACUACGUGCCAGCCGCCGCCGUAA